rnacentral:tRNA from 1 species
GUGGAUAUAGCUCAGAUUGGUAGAGCGCUUGCUUUGGGAGCAAGAAGUCGUAGGUUCAAGUCCUGCUAUCCGCAUUU